rnacentral:lncRNA from 1 species
UCAAAUCCUAACAGAGCUCAGUUUUUCGCUUACUGCAAAAUGCAAGAGACUUGAACAGAAAAUCAAUCAAAGACCUAAAUAAGUUUUGUAUCUAAAAGCAGGAAACACAAAAAGAAAAGACUAAGAAUAGUGCAUAUGUACCAAAGAAAGUCAAGCAACCACAAAAUUGAGAGCAGCAGUUAGGAAGACUUUUCAUUUUAAAUAACCAAACUCUGGUCUAACCCAAAACUGAAUCCUUGAUUUUCUACAAAAUAAAGCAAAUGGAAAUAUCAAGCAAACCAAACAUCCAACACAUUAGACUGCAGAAAAAGACCCAAUUCAUUUCAAAUCAAUACGAACGUUAUUACCUAUGUUCAUCAAUCAUGAACAACUCAUAGUUCAAAUAUAUAUUUAUAUACCCUUAAUGAAUGCAAUCAAGGCUAUAAUAUUGAAUGCUACCAAUAUGGAAUAAUUAUGUUUACAGAAUUGACUUUCAAAAGAAUAAGAAAAAAAAGGUUAUUCAUAGGAAAGCACAUGUUCUUGCUUUAAACUUUAAAAUGAGAGUCUCUCAUCUUAUUUCUGGUACACAUGAGGCAUUGGAGGUGAGGCAAC